AGAUUUCUCUUCAUUUUUCUGAAUUCUCAUCAGCUAAAACACCAUGGAAGGGCUUCUUCAAGCUGGUUCUUCAUAUUUUUAUUACAAUAUUCAGAAGUUUGUAAAGGUUGGAAGCUAAUCAGAGCAACAUCACGCUAUCCUUCAACUCACUUCGGUAUAAAUAGCAAAAUUUCUUCCGGGUAUAAUGGCAUGUAUAGGCUAAGUUUGGUCAAAUGAUGGCAUAUAUAUGUGUUGUUUGAAUUUAACCAUUGGAAUGACUUGUGAUGAAUAUGUUUUGAUGUGUAAAUAUAUAAGGCUUUAUCAUGUUUGGUGUGAGAUUGAUAUGAUUGAUUUGAUAGUAAUCUUAUAAGUACUAUUUAUAUGCAUUUUUGAUCAAA